UUUCUAUUUUUCAUAUGAGAUUUAAUGUGUAACAAAAUUUUAUACUAUCAGCAAUAUGGAAUCUGAACAGAAACACUGCCAAUUAUUGUUGAUGACGUGGAUGCUGAGAUAGUUAAACCAAGUACAUCCAAUGAUACAAAACAGGACAUGAAAUCGUCGGAGGAUAGCCCAAGGAAAAAGAAGCUGCAUUUGAAGAUCGUAAAAUUGAAGGCACAAAAUAAAACGCUCUGUGAAACAAUCCGACGACUCCGUUUGAAAGAAAAGAAGAACAUACAAGCCAAAAAAGAAACUAAUGAACAAAAAACUUUACAAAAAUUAGGCCGUAAGUUAUUACCAUAGAGUUUUAAUAAAAUAUUAGCAGCAUAAAUUAAUGCACAAUGCAAAAACAAACGUGGCAGAAGAUACGAUCGUGAUUUAAAAAAAUUCGCUUUGUCAUUGUAUUUUUUAAGUCCAAGAAAUUAUA